GGUCAAAUAUAUUAAGGCUUACGGUGGAUACCUAGGCAUUCAGAGACGAUGAAGGGCGUGGAUACCAGCGAAAUGCUUCGGGGAAUUGGAAACAAGUUUUGAUCCGGAGAUUCCCGAAUAGGGCAACCUAUAAAACUGCUUAUUGAAUUCAUAGAUAAGUAAGAGAUAACCUGCUGAAUUGAAACAUCUUAGUAAGCAGAGGAAAAGAAAGCAAACGCGAUUUCCUGAGUAGCGGCGAGCGAAAUGGAAACAGCCUAAUCACUAGAAAAAAGAUUAUUAAAUGAAGCAGCUGAAUCCUGCACCAAAGAUGGUGAAAGUCCAGUAGUUGAAAAUAUCGAAAAUGAUUUGAGUAGCAUGGGACACGUGAAAUCCCGUGUGAAGAUGCGAGGACCACCUCGUAAGGCUAAAUACUCCUGAAUGACCGAUAGCGAAAUAGUACCGUGAGGGAAAGGUGAAACAGAACCCCUGUAGGGGAGUGAAAAAGAACAUGAAACCGUAAGCUGACAAUCAGUGGGAGCGAAAGUGACCGCGUGCCUGUUGAAGAAUGAGCCGGCGACUUAUAAGCAGUGGCUUGGUUAAGGUUUAAAACUGGAGCCAAAGCGAAAGCGAGUCUGAAAAGGGCGCUUGUCACUUCUUAUGGACCCGAACCCGAGUGAUCUAACCAUGGCCAGGAUGAAUCUUGGGUAACACCAAGUGGAAGACCGAACCGACUGAUGUUGAAAAAUCAGCGGAUGAGUUGUGGUUAGAGGUGAAAUUCCAGUCGAACUCGGAGCUAGCUGGAUCUCCUCGAAAUGUGUUGAGGCGCAGCGGUUGAUGAUGGGUUAUUUAGGGGUAAAGCACUGUUUCGGUGCGGGCUGCGAAAGCGGUACCAAAUCGUCGCAAACUAAGAAUACUAAAUAUGCUUUCCAUCAACCAGUAAGACAGUGGGGGAUAAGCUUCAUUGUCAAAAGGGAAACAGCCCAGAUCACCAGCUAAGGCCCCAAAGUGGUUGCUAAGUGGCAAAGGAGGUGAGAAUGCAAAGACAACCAGAAGGUUUGCUUAGAAGCAGCCAUCCUUGAAAGAGUGCGUAAUAGCUCACUGGUAGAGCGUUCUUGCGCCGAAAAUGAACGGGACUAAGUGACCCGCCGAAGCUGUGGGAUUUUUUUACCUUGUGCUAAAAUUGUUUUAUAACUCUUAAGCAAUAUAAAAACAAUACAAUAAAAUCGGUAGAGGAGCGUUCCGCUGUAGGGUGAAGCAUAAGCGUGAGCUUGUGUGGACGACGCGGAAGUGAGAAUGUCGGCUUGAGUAACGAAAACAUUGGUGAGAAUCCAAUGCCCCGAAAACCUAAGGGUUCCUCCACAAGGCUCGUCCAUGGGGGGUUAGUCAGGACCUAAGAUGAGGUCGAAAGGCGUAGUCGAUGGAAAACAGGUCAACAUUCCUGUACUUAUUUAAAUUUGAUAAAGAAGGACGAAGAAGGCGGCGGUUAGCUUUAUAUUGGUAUUGAAGUAUAAAUGUUCAACUUGUUGAGAGGUCGAAGAAAAACUUCCUUGAGAGAAGACAUUAUAUGACAGAUUUAUAAUUAACUUGUUAGUUGUAAUUUUGUUUAACCUUAGUCAUACUUCCAAGAAAAGCUCUAAUUAUUUUACAAUUUAAAUAACCUGUACCCUAAACCGACACAGGUAGGUAGGUAGAGAAUACUAAGGGGCGCGAGAUAACUCUCUCUAAGGAACUCGGCAAAAUGGCCCCGUAACUUCGGGAGAAGGGGUGCGAGGUAAAACUCGUCGCAGUGACCAGGCCCAGGCGACUGUUUAUCAAAAACACAGGUCUCCGCAAAGUCGUAAGACAACGUAUGGGGGCUGACGCCUGCCCAGUGCCGGAAGGUAAAAGAAGUUGGUUAUUUUUCGGAAGAAGCUGACGACUGAAGCCCCGGUGAACGGCGGCUGUAACUCUGACAGUCCUAAGGUAGCGAAAUUCCUUGCCAAGUAAGUUUUGGCCCGCACGAAAGGCGUAACGAUCUGGGCACUGUCUCGGAGAGAGGCUCGGUGAAAUAGAAAUGUCUGUGAAGAUGCGGACUACUUAUACCAGGACAGAAAGACCCUAUGAAGCUUGACUGUAGCUUGGAAUUGGGUUUGGGCUCUUUUUGCGCAGUCUAGGUGGGAGGCGUUGAUAAUAGGUUUUCGGACCUAUUGGAGCCAUCAGUGAGAGACCACUCUGAAAGAGCUAAAAUCCUAAUAGGACUCCUUGAAUCAGGAUCCUUGACAGUUUCAGGCGGACAGUUUGUCUGGGGCGGAUGCCUCCUAAAAGGUAACGGAGGCGUGCAAAGGUUCCCUCAGGCUGGACGGAAAUCAGCUGUAGAGUGUAAAGGUAGAAGGGAGCUUGACUGCAAGACCAACAAGUCGAGCAGGGGCGAAAGCCGGCCUUAGUGAUCCGACGGUACCGAGUGGAAGGGCCGUCGCUCAACGGAUAAAAGUUACUCUAGGGAUAACAGGCUGAUCUCCCCCAAGAGUUCACAUCGACGGGGAGGUUUGGCACCUCGAUGUCGGCUCAUCGCAACCUGGGGCUGUAGUCGGUCCCAAGGGUUGGGCUGUUCGCCCAUGAAAGCGGUACGUGAGCUGGGUUCAGAACGUAGAUUCACUGCGUUGAUUCAUAGUAAUAUGAAUCUAGCAUCGGCUUAUAUCGGUGAAACCUUCUUUAGUUGAACUGGCUAAAAUGGUAAUACCGAGGGAAGAAUAAACACAGUUGUAAUAUUGUUAAAUUUUAAAACAAAAUUAAUUAAACAAGUAACCAAGGUUCAAAAUGAUCCACUAACUUUUUUAAAGUUAUGUAAAGAAGUUGAUCGCUUUAUAUUAUUGAAUGAUUCUAAAAAGCGUCAAAUUACUAAAUCAGUACGGUCUGACUUUGAGUUAACAACUGAUUUAUUCCCUGUAGAGACUGAAACUUAUUAAUUWAAGUUCGAUGAUUUAAGAGGUUUUUUAAAUCAUAAUACGCCGGCUCCUUAAAUAAAGGAUGAAGAUAUAGUCCAUGCCUUUUGGGAACAUUAGGAUUUAACAUGCGUGAGACAGUUCGGUCCAUAUCCGGUAUAAGCGUAAGAGCAUUGAGAGGAGCUCAACAUUGUACGAGAGGACCCGAAGGACGUACCGAUGGUGUACCAGUUCUUGUGCCAACAGGAAACGCUGGGUAGCUAUGUACGGAGUGGAUAAUCGCUGAAAGCAUCUAA
rnacentral:rRNA from 1 species